rnacentral:rRNA from 1 species
ACGGCCCACCAAGGCGACGAUCGGUAGCCGGACUGAGAGGUUGAACGGCCACAUUGGGACUGAGACACGGCCCAGACUCCUACGGGAGGCAGCAGUGGGGAAUAUUGCACAAUGGGGGAAACCCUGAUGCAGCGACGCCGCGUGGAGGAAGAAGGUCUUCGGAUUGUAAACUCCUGUUGUUGAGGAAGAUAAUGACGGUACUCAACAAGGAAGUGACGGCUAACUACGUGCCAGCAGCCGCGGUAAAACGUAGGUCACAAGCGUUGUCCGGAAUUUACUGGGUGUAAAGGGAGCGCAGGCGGGAAGGCAAGUUGGAAGUGAAAUCCAUGGGCUCAACCCAUGAACUGCUUUCAAAACUGUUUUUCUUGAGUAGUGCAGAGGUAGGCGGAAUUCCCGGUGUAGCGGUGGAAUGCGUAGAUAUCGGGAGGAACACCAGUGGCGAAGGCGGCCUACUGGGCACCAACUGACGCUGAGGCUCGAAAGUGUGGGUAGCAAACAGGAUUAGAUACCCUGGUAGUCCACACUGUAAACGAUGAUUACUAGGUGUUGGAGGAUUGACCCCUUCAGUGCCGCAGUUAACACAAUAAGUAAUCCACCUGGGGAGUA